rnacentral:rRNA from 1 species
UACGUAGGGGGCGAGCGUUGUCCGAAGUCACUGGGCGUAAAGCGCGCGUAGGCGGUCUUUUAAGUUGGAUGUGAAAUCCUGCGGCCCAACCGCAGAACUGCAUCCAAAACUGGGAGACUUGAGGAUGGAAGAGGGCAGUGGAAUUCCUGGUGUAGCGGUGAAAUGCGUAGAUAUCAGGAGGAACACCCGUGGCGAAGGCGGCUGCCUGGUCCAUAUCUGACGCUGAGGUGCGAAAGCCAGGGGAGCGAACGGGAUUAGAUACCCCGGUAGUCCUGGCCGUAAACGAUGGAUACUAGGUGUAAGUGGUAUCGACCCCACUUGUGCCGUAGCUAACGCAUUAAGUAUCCCGCCUGGGGAGUACGGCCGCAAGGUUGAA